rnacentral:rRNA from 1 species
UACGAAGGGGGCUAGCGUUGUCCGGAAUUAUUGGGCGUAAAGAGCUCGUAGGCGGUUUGUCGCGUCUGCUGUGAAAACUCGGGGCUUAACCCCGGGCCUGCAGUGGGUACGGGCAGACUAGAGUGCGGUAGGGGAGACUGGAAUUCCUGGUGUAGCGGUGAAAUGCGCAGAUAUCAGGAGGAACACCGGUGGCGAAGGCGGGUCUCUGGACCGCCACUGACGCUGAGACACGAAAGCGUGGGUAGCAAACAGG